rnacentral:rRNA from 1 species
UCAGAACGAACGCUGGCGGCAUGGAUUAGGCAUGCAAGUUGAACGAACUCCUUCGGGAGUGAGUAGCGGAAGGGUGAGGAACGCGUGAGUAAUCUGCCCCCCAGUUGGGAAUAACAGUUGGAAACGACUGCUAAUACCGAAUGUGGCUUAAGCUUCGCCUGGAGCUUUGGCUAAAGAUUUAUCGCUGGGGGAUGAGCUCGCGUCCCAUUAGGUAGUUGGUGAGGUAACGGCUCACCAAGCCGACGAUGGGUAGCUGGUCUGAGAGGAUGGUCAGCCACACUGGGACUGAGACACUGCCCAGACUCCUACGGGAGGCUGCAGUCGAGAAUCUUGGGCAAUGCGCGAAAGCGUGACCCAAGCAAUGCCGCGUGUAUGAUGAAGGCCCUCGGGUCGUAAAGUACUGUCUCCCGUGACGAAAUUUGACGGUAGCGGGGAAGGAAGCCACGGCUAACUACGUGCCAGCAGCAGC